UACGUAGGGUGCACGCGUUGUCCGGAAUUAUUGGGCGUAAAGAGCUCGUAGGUGGCCUGUCGCGUCGGCUGUGAAAACUCGGGGCUCAACUCCGAGCUUGCAGUCGAUACGGGCAGGCUAGAGUUCGGCAGGGGAGACUGGAAUUCCUGGUGUAGCGGUGAAAUGCGCAGAUAUCAGGAGGAACACCGGUGGCGAAGGCGGUGGGCUGGGCCGGCACUGACGCUGAGGAGCGAAAGCGUGGGGAGCGAACAGG
rnacentral:rRNA from 1 species